rnacentral:rRNA from 1 species
UGACCUGCCCACUGAAAAUAUUUUAAAGGGCCGCAGUAUUUUGACUGUGCAAAGGUAGCAUAAUCAUUAGUCUUUUAAUUGAAGGCUGGUAUGAAUGGUUGGAUGAGGUAAAUUCUGUUUUAUGUUAAUUGAUAUUGAAUUUAGAUUUUGAGUAAAAAUACUUAAAUGUUGUUAAGGGACGAGAAGACCCUAUAGAGUUUAAUAAAUGUAUUAAUUAAUUGAGUUAAGAUUUAAUUUUUGGUUUUUAUGUAAUUUAUUUAAUUGGGGUGAUUAGAAGAUAAAAUAAACUCUUCUUUAUAUUUAAUAAAUUAUUUAGUUGUGUGAUCCAUAUUUGAUGAUUAAAAGAUUAAAUUACCUUAGGGAUAACAGCAUAAUUCUUUUUAAGAGUUCAUAUCGAAAAAAGAGAUUGUGACCUCGAUGUUGGAUUAAGAUUAGUUGUGGGUGCAGAUGUUCAAUAACUAGGUCUGUUCGACCUUUAAAAUCUUACAUGAUCUGAGUUCAAACCGGAGA